UUUCUAGUGGCGGACGGGUGAGUAACGCGUGGGCAACCUGCCUUAUACAGGGGGAUAACAACCAGAAAUGGUUGCUAAUACCGCAUAAGCGCACAGGACCGCAUGGUCCGGUGUGAAAAACUCCGGUGGUAUAAGAUGGACCCGCGUUGGAUUAGCUAGUUGGUGGGGUAACGGCCUACCAAGGCGACGAUCCAUAGCCGGCCUGAGAGGGUGAACGGCCACAUUGGGACUGAGACACGGCCCAG
rnacentral:rRNA from 1 species